GGCACAGUGGCUUAGUGGUUAGUACUGUUCCCUCGCACCAGAGUUAGGGGUUCAAACCCCAUCUCUGCCC